GAGCGUAGAUAGAUAUAUAAGUCCAUAGUAGCUUGGUACUGGAUGGCUUUCCUCAUCUGACUUUGGUUAGAAGGGAAGCUGAGCAUCCGUACCAGUCCUCAUCAUUCAUUUAACAGUAUGGAAUUGAAAAAGGAGAUAGUGGCCAAGGCAGCGGAGGCCGAUAUGACGCUAAGCUGUGACGUUGUCCAACAUAUGGUCCGCAUCCAUUGUGCUCAUUGUGAUCUACGUACAGAAUACGUCCCCUAUAAGCUGAUGUAUGAACCCAUUAUGAGGACAAGGGGAGGAGGAGGGGGCGCAUUAGGUGAGUAUAGGUUCAAAAACACAUGACAUUUGGUAAGCGCUUUU
rnacentral:sRNA from 1 species